AGCCUCUAAGAUCCGAAACAGGCAACUAAGCAGAAAAAAGAACCAGUUUUUCCUGGUGAGCCAGAAGAGAACCCACCACCUUACAUGCCACUCUACCUGACAUUUCCAAGACCACUGAGAAAAUGGGCAGUCCCUUAAUCCUCAGAAAAAUCAGAAUAUGGCCAUUCAAUGCCAGCUACUGCUUCCUCUGUGACACCCUUAAGGCCAGAGGCUUCCCCAGGGCCAAAGAUUUCUCCUCCAACUUGCAGGACCAAGAUGGGAACCCAUCCCAAGAUCAGAGCCACAACCAGCUGACACCUCUCCAGAUGCCCCUAUGAGAAACUAGAGGACCUGCCUACGUUGACCAGGAGGAAAUCAUCUGAGGGGCCUAAAGCAUUUUUAAAAACCAGGCCUUCACCUCCAGUGAUCUUUGAAAUUGGAAAAAUCAUAAUACUUCCUACACAGAGAAAUCUGAGACCAUGAUUGAUAUGCUGCAAUCCAUUAUCCAGACCUAUUAUCCUCCCUGCUUGUUAUGGUUUGGAUGUGAAGUUCCCCCCAAAAGCUCACAUGUUACACAAUGCAAGAAGGUUCAGAGGAGAAAUAAUUGGGUUGUAAGAGUCCUACCCC
rnacentral:lncRNA from 1 species